UACCUAUUGGAUUGAUAAGAUUUCGAUAAUUCUUCAAUAUUGCUUGCAUAUUUUGCUAACUUUAUCUAUUUAUUUUAAGAGAUAAUGUAAAAUGUUGCUAAUAUACUGUAGUAACUUUAAUUUAAAGUAAAAGGAUGUAAAAUUCAUGCGUGGUUAAAAGCAGGAAAAGUCCAAUUUAAAAUAUUGAACAAAAUCAAACGUGCAGGAAUUGAGAUUCUAGGGCUUGCCUUCUUAACUCAAUGAUGAAACAUUGAAGUACCUUCAACUUGGUACGUAUUUCCCUACAAAGGAUCUUUAUUCCUCUCUUCAACUGCUUAACACGAAAGAGAACAUGUCUAUAGUUAUCACUUUAGUUUACAAUUUAUGAGGAGCCUUGAUGUCUAUCACUGUGAAGCACAUUGCCAUGGCAAUAUAGAUAAUUUGACUUUGUUAGUAAAGUCUGAUUAAGUUUUUAAUUGUAUAUUAGCUAACUGUUGUAAUUGCGCUGCCCAAGCGAAGUUGGGCAUCGUUUUAUAUUCGCUGCGUGAGUUUGUUAGUUUGUUAGUUUGUUCGGAAUCAUAAGCCUUGGUAUUAUUAAAACAAUAUGUCUUUGAAAUACAUGUCUCUAAAAAAAUAUAUGUCUCUAAAAAAUAUUCUACCAAACACCACAGAUUUUCCCAACACUUCGAUUUCCCCAACACUUCGAUUUCCCCGUGUACACUUGAUAAAUGUUCCUUACUGGACCUCUAGGAAGAACAUUGUAGAACUGAUGGAGUUAAUCAGUAUGGAUAAAAUAGUUUUGUUUAGGUAGUUUUGUUUAGGUUUCCUCUUGUAGCAGUGGACAAAGGGAUGGCCCUUCUUAGUUUGAUCCCUAGAGCCAGUACAGUUAUAAGAACUGAUAUAAGUUAUCCAGUAUAAAUGAAGUCAGUUUAGUUAAGGUUCCUUCUGUAAUAACAAUGGCCCAAUAAAAGAUUAAGCAGAAACUCGACGUUUCGAGCGAAGGCCCUUCGUCAAGGUUUAGUAGCCAAUAAAAGAUUGCCUUUGC